rnacentral:rRNA from 1 species
UACGUAGGGGGCAAGCGUUGUCCGGAAUCAUUGGGCGUAAAGAGCGUGUAGGCGGCCCGGUAAGUCCGCUGUGAAAUCUCGAGGCUCAACUUCGAGCUGUCGGUGGAAACUGUCUGGCUAGAGUCCGGAAGAGGAGAAUGGAAUUCCUGGUGUAGCGGUGAAGUGCGCAGAUAUCAGGAAGAACACCCGUGGCGAAGGCGGUUCUCUGGGACGGUACUGACGCUGAGGCACGAAAGCGUGGGGAGCGAACGGG